GGGUGGGUAGCUCAGCGGGAGAGCAUCGCCCUUACAAGGCGGAGGUCGCAGGUUCAAUCCCUGUCCCACCCACCA
rnacentral:tRNA from 1 species